rnacentral:tRNA from 1 species
GCCGAAGUGGCGGAAUUGGCAGACGCGCUACGUUCAGGGCGUAGUUCUCGAAAGGGAGUGUGGGUUCGACUCCCACCUUCGGCA